ACUCCUACGGGAGGCAGCAGUGAGGAAUAUUGGUCAAUGGAGGCAACUCUGAACCAGCCAUGCCGCGUGCAGGAAGACUGCCCUAUGGGUUGUAAACUGCUUUUAUACAGGAAGAAACAGUCGUACGAGUACGACCUUGACGGUACUGUAAGAAUAAGCACCGGCUAACUCCGUGCCAGCAGCCGCGGUAAUACGGAGGGUGCAAGCGUUAUCCGGAAUCAUUGGGUUUAAAGGGUCCGCAGGCGGUCAAUUAAGUCAGAGGUGAAAUCCCAUAGCUUAACUAUGGAACUGCCUUUGAUACUGGUUGACUUGAGUUAUACGGAAGUAGAUAGAAUAAGUAGUGUAGCGGUGAAAUGCAUAGAUAUUACUUAGAAUACCGAUUGCGAAGGCAGUCUACUACGUAUAUACUGACGCUCAUGGACGAAAGCGUGGGAGCGAACAGGAUUAGAUACCCUGGUAGGCUCUG
rnacentral:rRNA from 1 species